UACGGAAGGGGCAAGCGUUGUUCGGAAUCAUUGGGCGUAAAGGGCGCGUAGGUGGUUCUGUAUGUCUACCGUGAAAGCGUACGGCUCAACUGUAUUUUGUCGGUAGAAACUGCAGGACUUGAGGCUGGGAGGGGCUGGUGGAAUUCCCUGUGUAGCGGUGAAAUGCGCAGAUAUCAGGAGGAACACCGAUGGCGAAGGCAGCUCGCUGGGACGGUACUGACGCUGAGACGCGAAAGCGUGGGGAGCGAACAGG
rnacentral:rRNA from 1 species